CUGCGGGAGGACCUUCCAGCUCUGCAAAGACACGGAGGCUGCUGCAGUUCCCGGUGCUGGCGCUGGAGAAACAUGACCUUCAGCAGCUUUUCUCCUAAACCACCCCGAGCUGAUCCGCGCUAGGGCCCGCUCUUGCUGCAGACACACCCGGGCAGGGUGGCUGGUUAGCCUCGGUUCAUGUGAGAUGCUAGAUGUCACCUGCAGAAGAAGAGAAGAGCUUACCUCUUCCAGAGAGAUGGCCCCGAGCCAGCAAAUUCGCUCUGUCAGCCUGUGCAGCGGCUGUGGCAGAACUAGUGACAUUUCCCCUGGAUCUGACGAAAACCCGGCUGCAGAUCCAAGGUGAGGCUGCCGAGCGCCGCGAUGGAGCUGCGGCCGGCCGGGCGGUCCCGUACCGCGGGAUGCUGCGCACGGCGCUGGGAAUCGCGCAGGAGGAGGGCGUUCGGAAGCUCUGGCAAGGAGCCACGCCGGCCGUCUACCGCCACAUAGUAUACACUGGUGUUCGGAUGGUUACUUAUGAACAUCUCCGUGACUCCGUGCUUGGCAGGGUGGAGGGUGAAAGCUUUCCUCUCUGGAAAGCAGUGGUUGGAGGCAUGUCUGCGGGUGCCAUCGGACAGUUUUUUGCCAGCCCAACUGAUCUGGUGAAGGUGCAGAUGCAGAUGGAGGGAAAAAGGAAGUUGGAAGGAAAACCGUUAAGGUUUCGGGGCGUGCACCACGCAUUUCUGAAGAUCCUGUCUGAAGGAGGAGUAAGGGGACUUUGGGCUGGAUGGGUACCAAAUGUCCAGAGGGCUGCUCUGGUGAAUAUGGGAGAUCUAACCACUUAUGACUCAGUGAAACACUUUUUGCUUCUGAACACAACACUUGUGGACAAUAGCGUGACUCACAGUGUUAGCAGUAUCUGUUGCUGUUGGCAGUGCCUGCUCCGGGCUGGUAGCAGCUGUUCUGGGAACUCCUGCUGACGUGGUCAAAACCCGGAUAAUGAACCAGCCAAGAGAUAAGCAGGGAAGAGGUCUGCUCUAUAAAUCUUCUGUGGACUGCUUGAUUCAAACUGUCCAGGGUGAAGGGUUUAUGUCUCUGUACAAAGGCUUUAUACCAACCUGGAUGAGAAUGGCACCUUGGUCGCUGGUAUUCUGGCUUACAUAUGAACAAAUCAGAUGGAUGUGUGGAGUUACUUCUUUUUAAAACCUUUACCAUUCACAGAAGAGAGAAGACUCAAAAAGCUGAAUUCUCAUUCCACAAGGUAGUAAGAUCACAUGUAUAGCUUGUUGCUUCAAAUCCAGUCCUUACUGGCUGGGAGCAGCCCUGACUUGAGGAUACUAUUUGAUUGUCAGACUGCGACAUGAAAUUUGUUAUCCACAGGAUAAAAUUGUCACAAUAAUACUUCAGCUAGCAGCCAGCAUCAGCUUUCUCAACCAGCAAACAGGAAUUAAAAAAAUUCUACCAAGCAAAUGGAACAUAACACUGUCUGUUUGAUAAUUGAGAUGGUUUCUAUUGUUUGAGACAAGAGCAGGUUGAUCAAUGCACUGAACAAGUUCUGUGGCUAAACAUCUGUAAAAUUAUUUGGGAAUUUUUUGCUGUUAAUUGCAUUUGCACACAGAUAAAGAACUACCUCUUGUUAGUUUGAUGUCUCAGCAAGCUAACCCUGUAGUACUAGGUUUUGAAAAAGAUAAAAGCAGUUUUCCUGAUUUCAAAUCUGCUUUGCACAAAAAGUGGGUUUGUGUUUCUCUUACUUCCCAGAGACUGCCUGACCUCUCCACUCAACUAUUUGAGUAAGAUCAUGAUUGAAAUGCAGUCCUGUUCCCAGAAAAUCAAAAGCCUAGUUUGCUCUGCAGCACUCAAAGGACUCAGGAUACUCCAUAGGACUGAGCUGAACUACUUGUCCCAUGACAAUCUUGGUGCUGAUGUUGCAGACUGGGUCAUUUUCCAUGGAAAUGUGCUCUCUGCCCACUUCAAAUCUCUCUGGAAAUACAACUUUCCCUUCAAUAAUGCAAAACAUUUGAACAGAAGUGAUUUAUUUCUUUUUAAAUCUGAAGCUUUCCAGAUUUCAUAGAGAAGAAGACUAGUGCUGUUUGUCACUAGCCUUACCUUUGGCAAUCAAGAGUCAAAAAUGCAGUAUCAAAAGCAGCCAUGAGUAGAUAAAACAAAGCUGGCUUUGAUUUAGUAAUAUCUAAUAGUUGAAUUAAUGUAGAAAACUUGUCUCUCUGAAUAAAUACCCAGGAUUUCUUCUAGUCUUUGCAA